UAACAAUGAUUUCCCUAGUAACGGCGAGUGAAGAGGAAAGAGCUCAAAGUUGGAACCUGUUUGGCUUAGCUAAACCGGAUUGUAAACUGUAGAAGUGUUUUCCAGACACGCCUGGUAAAAAAGUCCUUUGGAACAGGGCAUCAUAGAGGGUGAGAAUCCCGUCAUUGGCCAGAGCUGUUGUCUUUUGUGAUACAUUUUCAAAGAGUCAGGUUGUUUGGGAAUGCAGCCUAAAUUGGGUGGUAAAUCUCACCUAAAGCUAAAUAUUUGCGAGAGACCGAUAGCGAACAAGUACCGUGAGGGAAAGAUGAAAAGAACUUUGAAAAGAGAGUUAAACAGUAUGUGAAAUUGUUAAAAGGGAACCGUUUGGAGCCAGACUGGCUUAACUGUAAUCAAUCUAGGCUUUGGCCUGGAUGCACUUGCGGUUUAUGCCUGCCAACGACAGUUUUGUUUGAGGAAAAAAACUACUUGGAAUGUGGCCCCCCGCGGUGGGUGUUAUAGCCUUUUAGAAAAUACCUUGAAUGAUUGAGGAACGCAGUGAAUGCCUUUAGGCAAGAUUGCUGGGCGCUUUCGCUAAUAAAUGGUAGAAUUUAUGCUUUGGGUGGUGCUAGUGUUUAAAGGAGAAACUGGCUUGGUAUAUUUUUUUUUCGCUUAGGUUGUUGGA
rnacentral:rRNA from 1 species